rnacentral:rRNA from 1 species
AUUGAACGCUGGCGGCAUGCCUUACACAUGCAAGUCGAACGGCAGCACGGGAGCAAUCCUGGUGGCGAGUGGCGAACGGGUGAGUAAUACAUCGGAACGUGCCCAGUUGUGGGGGAUAGCCCGGCGAAAGCCGGAUUAAUACCGCAUACGACCUACGGGUGAAAGCGGGGGAUCGCAAGACCUCGCGCUAUUGGAGCGGCCGAUGUCGGAUUAGCUAUUUGGUGGGGUAAAAGCCUACCAAGGCUACGAUCCGUAGCUGGUCUGAGAGGACGACCAGCCACACUGGGACUGAGACACGGCCCAGACUCCUACGGGAGGCAGCAGUGGGGAAUUUUGGACAAUGGGCGCAAGCCUGAUCCAGCCAUGCCGCGUGCGGGAAGAAGGCCUUCGGGUUGUAAACCGCUUUUGUCAGGGAAGAAACGGUUUGGGCUAAUACCCCGAACUAAUGACGUUACCUGAAGAAUAAGCACCGGCUAACUACGUGCCAGCCGCCGCCGUAA